rnacentral:tRNA from 1 species
GCCUGGGUGGCUCAGUCUGUUGAGCAUCUGACUUUGGCUCAGGCCAUGAGUUUGCAGUUCGUGGGUUCGAGCCCUUCAUCGGGCU